rnacentral:misc_RNA from 1 species
AAGUCGUAACAAGGUUUCCGUAGGUGAACCUGCGGAAGGAUCAUUAACGAAUAUCUAUGGCGUUGGUUGUAGCUGGCUCCUCGGAGUAUUGUGCACGCCCGUCAUUCAUAUCAUCUUUCCACCUGUGAACCAUGUGUAGGCCUGGAUACCCCUCGCUUUGGUAACAAAGCGGAUGCAAGGAUUGCUGCGUCGAUAAGGCCGGCUCUCUUUGAAUUUCCAGGUUCUAUGUCUUUUACACACCCCAUUUGAAUGGUUUAGAAUGUAGUCAAUGGGCUUUCAUGCCUAUAAAAAACUAUACAACUUUCAGCAACGGAUCUCUUGGCUCUC